CACUCACUGGAUAGCAGGGGAGGGAGGCAUGGAGUCUCACUCGGUUGCCCAGGCUGGAGUGCAGUGGCAUGAUCUCGGCUCACAGCAACCUCUGCGUCCCGGGUUCAAGGAACGACCAGAAACUGAAAUUUAUAUUUAAAGGGGAAGCAGAGUGUAAAAGUUUGAAAAAUUUGCAGCCCACCCAUGUGGUGGAAAAGAAAACCCCAUUUUCAAGGCUCGUAGGUGAAGAGACUUUUGCCGUGUCUGAGAUGAGACUUUGGACUUUGGACUUUUGAGUUAAUGCUGGAAUGAGUUAAGACUGUGAAUUAUUGGGAAGUCAUGAUUGUACUUUUGCAAUGUGAGAAGAACACAAGAUUUGGAGGGGUCAGGGGUGAAAUAAUAUGGUUUAGAUCUGUGUCCUCACCCAAAUCUCAUGUUGAAUUGUAGUCCCCAGUGUUGGAGAUGGGGACUGAUGGGAGUUAAUUAGAUCAUGAGGGUGAAAUUGUCAUCAAUGCUUUAGGACCAUCUCCUCAGUGCUAUUCUCAUGAUAGAGUUCUCACAAGAUCUGGUUGUUUAAAAGCAUGUGGCACUUCUCCACCUCCCACCACCACCGCCACCACCAUUCUCCUACUCCAGCCACGUAAGAAGCACUUGCUUCCCCUUCACCUUCCACCAUGAUUGUAAGUUUCCUGAGGACCCCCAGAUGCAGAAGCUGCUAUACUUCUUGUACAGCCUGUAGAACUGUGAGCCAAUUAAACCUCUUUUCUUAUAAACU
rnacentral:lncRNA from 1 species